rnacentral:rRNA from 1 species
UAACACGUGGGUAACCUGCCCAAGAGAUCGGGAUAACACCUGGAAACAGAUGCUAAUACCGGAUAACAACAGAUGAUGCCUAUCAACUGUUUAAAAGAUGGUUCUGCUAUCACUCUUGGAUGGACCUGCGGUGCAUUAGCUAGUUGGUAGGGUAACGGCCUACCAAGGCGAUGAUGCAUAGCCGAGUUGAGAGACUGAUCGGCCACAUUGGGACUGAGACACGGCCCAAACUCCUACGGGAAGCA